GGGUGGGGGGAGCUGAGACCUGAGGGGGGUCUGAGACCCAGGGAGGGGGCUGAGACACGGCCAUGGCGAGCGCCCUGGCCAUCGCAGAGUCUGACCCAGACAGCGCAUGCCCUCGGAGGCUGGGCUUCGGGAGGCUAGGAUCGCCGGUGGGGAGAUGGUGGCCUGCUGGUCUCCAGGAUGGUCCCCUGGGGGUACCGGAGCCCCCCGCGCUCCCCAGCCUGAGCCCGCCCACACCCCUCCUCUCAGCUUCAAGCGCUCCACGGAGGAGAGGGAGCAGAAGGUCCUGGUCCUGGAGGAGGCCUGGGCAGCGGCCCAGAAGCAGGCCAGCGAGCUGCGGGCAGGCCUGCGGGAGGCGGAGCGGGCGGCCGUGGACACCCAGCGGCAGCUCCAGGAGCUACGCAGACAGGUGACGACGCUGGAGGUAGAGAACCAGAGAAAGAGCCAGGAGCUGGUGCGGCUGCAGACCCGGGGCGCCCAGGAGCCGAGCCGGCAGGAGGCCCUGGCGCUGCAGACGCUGGUGGCUGAGGCGGAGGCCGCCCGCGAGGACGCGCAGAGGGAGGUCCGGAGGCUGCGGCGGAUGCUGGCAGAGGUGGAGGCCCGGGCCGAGACCCGGGAGAAGGACCUGGAGCGGCAGCUCUGCGAGAGCCGGGGGUCUGAGCGGGCCCUCUGGGCCGAGCUGCGUGGCGUCGCCCAGAAGCUGCAGCAGGCCAACGGCACGGCCGACAGCCUCCAGGUUCGCCUGGACGGGGCCUGCCACUGGGCCCGUGGCCUCGAACAGGAGCUGGCCCGGGCCAAGGGCGCCUGGCGGGAGGCAGAGGGCCAGCGGGGCCAGCUGUGGCCCACGCUCCACCCUGGCGUGGGGUUCCACGGACGGAGCCCCGCGGCCUCUCCUGAGCCGGCCGGCCCCCCCACCAGAGGUCAGUGCCCUCCGCGCCCACCCCGUCACCCGCCCGGGGCGCCCCAGCCCCCUCGCGGCUCUCCCCCAAUCCCUCGCUCCCCGAGAGUGGGGCCAGCAGUGUGA
rnacentral:lncRNA from 1 species